rnacentral:rRNA from 1 species
CCUACGGGCGGCUGCAGUCGAGAAUCAUUCACAAUGGGGGAAACCCUGAUGGAGCGACGCCGCGUGGGGGAAUGAAGGUCUUCGGAUUGUAAACCCCUGUCAUGUGGGAGCAAAUUAAAAAGAUAGUACCACAAGAGGAAGAGACGGCUAACUCUGUGCCAGCAGCCGCGGUAAUACAGAGGUCUCAAGCGUUGUUCGGAAGUACUGGGCGUAAAGCGUGCGUAGGCUGUUUGGUAAGUCGUGUGUGAAAGGCGCGGGCUCAACCCGCGGGCGGCACAUGAUACUGCGAGACUAGAGUAAAGGAGGGGGAAACGGAAUUCUCGGUGUAGCAGUGAAAUGCGUAGAUAUCGGGAGGAACACUAGUGGCGAAGGCGGGUUCCUGGACAUUAACUGACGCUGAGGCUCGAAGGCCAGGGGAGCGAAAGGGAUUAGAUACCCGGGUAGUC